GGUCCCGUGGUGUAAUGGUCAGCACUCAGGACUCUGAAUUCUAAAAUCUGAGUUCAAAUCUCAGUGGGACCU
rnacentral:tRNA from 1 species